UACGAAGGGGGGCUAGCGUUGCUCGGAAUUACUGGGCGUAAAGCGCGCGUAGGCGGUUUUGCAAGCCAGAGGUGAAAUGCCUGAGCUCAACUUAGGAAUUGCCUUUGGGACUGCGAGGCUUUGAGGACUGGAGAGGUGAGUGGAAUUCCCAGUGUAGAGGUGAAAUUCGUAGAUAUUGGGAAGAACACCGGUGGCGAAGGCGGCUCACUGGCCAGUUUCUGACGCUGCAGCGCGAAAGCGUGGGGAUCAAACAGG
rnacentral:rRNA from 1 species